AUAUUGGGCAAUGGACGCAAGUCUGACCCAGCCAUGCCGCGUGCAGGAAGACGGCCUUCUGGGUUGUAAACUGCUUUUAUCUGGGAAGAAAACACCCAUGCGUGGGAAACUGACGGUACCAGAUGAAUAAGCACCGGCUAACUCCGUGCCAGCAGCCGCGGUAAUACGGAGGGUGCAAGCGUUAUCCGGAUUCACUGGGUUUAAAGGGUGCGUAGGCGGCUAUAUAAGUCAGUGGUGAAAGCCCGCAGCUCAACUGCGGAAUUGCCAUUGAAACUGUAUAGCUUGAAUCUGGUUGAAGUGGGCGGAAUACAUCAUGUAGCGGUGAAAUGCUUAGAUAUGAUGUAGAACACCGAUUGCGAAGGCAGCUCACUAAGCCAACAUUGACGCUGAGGCACGAAAGCGUGGGUAGCGAACAGG
rnacentral:rRNA from 1 species